CCUACGGGUGGCAGCAGUGGGGAAUAUUGGACAAUGGGCGAAAGCCUGAUCCAGCCAUGCCGCGUGUGUGAAGAAGGCCUUCGGGUUGUAAAGCACUUUCAGUGGGGAAGAAAGCCUUGGGGCUAAUACCCUCGAGGAAGGACAUCACCCACAGAAGAAGCACCGGCUAACUCCGUGCCAGCAGCCGCGGUAAUACGGAGGGUGCGAGCGUUAAUCGGAAUUACUGGGCGUAAAGCGCGCGUAGGCGGUCUGAUAAGCCGGUUGUGAAAGCCCCGGGCUCAACCUGGGAACGGCAUCCGGAACUGUCAGGCUAGAGUGCAGGAGAGGAAGGUAGAAUUCCCGGUGUAGCGGUGAAAUGCGUAGAGAUCGGGAGGAAUACCAGUGGCGAAGGCGGCCUUCUGGACUGACACUGACGCUGAGGUGCGAAAGCGUGGGUAGCCAACAGGAUUAGAUACCCCAGUAGUC
rnacentral:rRNA from 1 species